UCUCCUGACCUCAUGAUCUGCCUGCCUCAGCCUCCCAAAGUGCUGGGAUUACAGGUGUGAGCUACUGCGCCUGGCCACCUCAUUUGUUUUAACAGUUGUGUUACAUUCUAUUGUGAGGAUGUGUUACUUUAUUAAACCAUUCUCCUAAUGAUAGACAUUUAUAACCCAGAUUUUCUGUGGACCGGUGUUUGUUCUGGGACAUUAUUUGGUCCAAAGAGUAGCAAGAAAGGCCAUUCAUUUUUUUGAUCUUGUUCAAAGGUGACUGUAGGACAACUGUAGGUUUGUGCUGUUUUCUCUGCCUUUAUCCUCAGGAGAGAGGAAGAAAAACCAGUCCCUGUUCUCUGAAGGAUAACUUUUUGUGUAAUGUUUAAGGACACUUUUGUUAGUGACAUUUAAAUAAAUGGUAGAGGCCAUUCUUGACCUCUUUUUCAGUGUGCCUUAGGAGCCAGAUUUGCAGUCUCAAUUAGCCAAAAAAGCCGCAUCUAUUCUUGAACUUGAAUGUAAGUUAAUUCCAAUACCACAGUUAGCUAUGGCAGCACUUUAGAUUGUGUAUGCAAAAGCCAUAGCCUGUUCUUGGCUAGGAGACUCCAAGGAUGUCAUUCGGGAGACCUUGGUUUCUAAUUCAGCCCACCACUAAAUAGCUCUGUACCUUGGCCAAACCUGGUAAUAGGCCUGUUUUUACAGAUGGGAUCUCUCUUUCCUCAUUCGAAGAAAGAGGUAAACAUACUUGCCCUGCCAUACCUCAUAGGAAUAGUAUGAGAUAAAGUGAGAUGAUAGAAAGAAAAUGCUUUGGAAAAACAAAAUGCUGACUAACUGAAAAGGGAUUUUGUCAGCUGCUUCUCUGGGGUCUCCUUUGGUUUUGAGUGUGGUUGAAAGCUGAGCUGGGCGACUCAGAUGGGAGUGACAGCCUGUACUGCACUUGAGGACUGUACAUUUUUUCGUGUCUGGUAGGAAAUUGGCAGCACUAGAAAUGGAGUGAAACUUUUCAUGACAUGUUCCAUUUGCUUUUGGAAAAGAGACGUGUGUAUGAGAGAGGAAGAGUAGCUCAUCUAACUGCCAGAAUAGCUGAGAUUUUCUUUCUGGUGGGUAACAGUGUAGUUCAGUUGCACACUUACUUCUUAUUACCCAGAUGUGCAAAGAAACUGUAGCUUUUCAAAUUUUCUAAAGUGGAGCCGGUGUUUCUCAUAAGCCCCCACCCCCAUUUUGCUAGUUUAUAAUAUAUUAUUCUUUUUUCUGGAUUAAUCUCUUUUGGAUGACUGUUUCUUUUAGGUAAAUUGCUCAGUUGCUCAGAUUUUUCUCAUGUUCCUCCACUUCUCUUCAGAGUGGGAUCUGAGUGCAUAGAGGUGUUUACAUGAACUUAGGUGGUAGUGAUGGGAGCAAAGGAAGAAGGGUGCUUGGAGCCAAGGCAAAAUAGCUAGAUCCCACUGGUCUUUGCUUUAUGGAGGUAGGGCUGGUCUGAUGACCUCUCUUGUUUUUUGGAAUAUUGUGCUAAUACCCAGCACUAAAAUUUAUGUCCUACUUUUUGCCUAUGGGGUCAAAGACCCUACAUAUAGCAGCCUCUUAGUCCUGACUCCAGGCCUUUGCCCAGUCACUGACUGAGUACUAUCAGCAGGGAACAAAGAAGUGUAUGGAUCCCAGCAUGCUCAACACCAAGUGUGAGAAGACAGAACCUCUGCACUUGGCUCCCUAACUAGACACUCACCUUGGCCAGUGCUGUGUUUUCAUCUGUUCACCACCAUCCUCUCCCCUCCACACCACACUUGGUGAAAAGGUAGGCAUUUUUCUAGAGGCCUUCAACACCUCAGGAGUAGCCUUAGGGUUCUCAGUGAGUGCCAUCACAACUAUUAGGAUAUUUCUAAAGCUGUUCCCUAAACUCUGGUUGAGCCUUGAGGUGGGAGUAUAUAUAGUGGAGCCCAAGACCCUGGUAUCCGAUCUAGACUGAAUUUUUCCCAUGUUCCCCACAUGCCUGAGGAAAAGGGCUUUCCCUCUUUCCUUAUGGCAGGGAUCUCCCCUAUGUCAUAUCUUCAGUACUCUUUCUCUCUCUGGUUUAAAGAAAACCUUAAUGGUCAAGUCCACCCAGGCUGUAUCUUAAUAUGUUAGUGGGAGCUUGAGAAUUCAAGCUGCAUACUAAAAAAAUCCUAUUUUGGAUGUCAACAGCUGAACAUUGACGCUUUCUCUUUGCCUGCUGCUAUAACUAUCCUAAACUUCCUUGAGGCAAAUAGAUGCUUCUGGCAGAGUAAGGAGGAGGUUAAAUAUAUAUAAAGACAUGCAAAAGAGGAAAGUACAUUAUAUUUUAAAAAGUAUUACCCUAGUUAAAACAAUAAUUUGGGGGAAGAAAGGUUUAGAAAUGAGGCUCCCAAGAUUGCCUUCAUUGGGAUUCCAUGUAUAUACAUGUACAUGCUUAUUUGCAUGUAAACAUGCAAGGGUGUGAUGUUGUUGAUUCUUCCAGCAAGCAUGUAGUGAGCACUUGUUACAGAUCAUGUUCAGAGGGGCAUAUGGCACAGUCUCUGUCUUCAAGGAGCUCCUGGUCUUAGGAGAAUGAUGGAGUGAAGAUGGAUUACAUUAUAGAGCUGCAUGGCUGAAUUCUGCUUUCUGAGACGUUGGUGUUUUCGUCUGAUAAAUAUGACUAAUGGUUGAGCUAGGGCCUUUAGUGGGUCUGGUUUCUCCUUACCUUGCUAGGAUCUGCUUUCCAAGUCUCUUCAACUUUUGACAAUGACAAGUUCUAGUUACUUUUGAUUUUCUCAAAUAAAGUGAAUUCCUUUAACAUCAGUCUGGGUUUUCAUGAACAUAUGUUCUAUAGCAAGGAUGUGCUAAAUAAAACCAAUUUUAAUCAGUAAUAAAUCAAUGGAAGAAAUGAAGCCCAAAUUAGAUUUCCUGCUCUUCUGCUUCUGUGGUGGUGGAGUUGUUUGGUUGCUGUUAUUUUCAUCCAAAAUUCUUUCACCUCUUUUGAUGCAGGAAAACUUUUGUAUUUUAUACACUAUACUCAAUCCAGGGCUAUGGAGUUCAAACAGCACUAGGGGCUGUGAGCAGUAGUUCUACUUUGACUGGUGAAUCUGGGAACUCUGUCCCCUGUGAAGAGGGGGAGAAACUGGUAGCCUGGCAAGUCAAGCCAGGCGGGGCAAGUAUGGAGCAAAAAUAACACAACAGGUAAGUGGCAGAGUCAGAUGGUUGGGUUCCAGUGGAAAGAGCAGUGGGCUGGAUUUCGGAAGAACAGUUAUUACUGCCGAGCUUGGGCAAGUGUCUCCCUCUCUGAGGCUUAGGGGAGAGUUGAGCUAGAAGAUCUCUAAUGCGUCUUCCAUCUACAAUAUUAUGAGCUGAAUGGAGAGCAGGUGGGGGGACAGGGAAGCCCAGGGGCAUAGGAACCAAGUGGUAAGUGGUUUCAGGACCUUUAUGCCUGAUUCUCUGGAGACUUUACCCUUUUGAGGUCUUUCAUUUCUGCAGCUCAAGACUACUUGGUCAGUCCUCCUGAUGCCGGAACUCAGAGGUGAUCCAGCAUCCUUAUAUGGUGAAUAGGGGCACUAACCCCCUUGGGGAGAAUCAUCCUGAUAGUCAGCAAAUUAGUGGCUUCACACUAUUUUGGUUCUUAGAAUCUUUUCAAAGAACCAUGUUUCUGGGGUUUCUGGGCCUGCAUUAAAAAGCCUACACUUCCUCAGCCUUUUCUUUUGGAUUCCAAGUCUGUGUGCCUGAACAUCCUAGAUAAUGCCUUCAUCAGGGACCACCUUUCUUCUGGCUCUUCCAAGAUACAGAGAGGACUAACUUAUUCAUCUUCCUGUCAGCCCAUGUCCUUGAACUUUUCUUCUUUUGCAUCAGAUACAGAAGAUGGUAAAAAGCAGUCCAGAAUCUUCUUUUCUUAGGGUAUAUGCAAACCCAGCCCAACUCCAGCAUCUCAAAAGGAGAAAUAGGGUAAACUGCCAUCUUGGCUUUCUUACAUUUCCUUCCACGCAGAACUCUCCUUUAUUCCACAUUUUCUAGAGCUUUAGAGAAUUUACAUUUUGGUAGAGGGAAACAUACUUGAUUUCUAAAACGUACACUAAAGCAUUCCAGUUAUAUGAUACGACUAUAGUAGUUGAUAGCACAGACAUAAACGAGGAAUGAAGUCUAUGUUGGUGGAUAUGGUGGUUGUCGUAGAGUAGGAAAUGAUUGAAUGACAUUUGGAAGAGGGAUUCAUUAUCCAUAGUGACAAGUGGGGAGAGGCAUUCCUAGCAGAGGAAGAAAGGUGAGCAAAGGGAGAGAGUUGUGUAAACAUCAUGGAGAAUUAGAGGAUUGUAGGGAGACAGGGACUAGAGAGACAUAUGAGGUCUUGGAUUUUCUCAAGAGUUGGAUUUUAUAUACUAGGAUUUGGAUUCUAUUUUUAAAGAUAUGGGGUCUUGCUGGGUCACACAGGCUGGAGUGCAGUGGCACAAUCAUAGCUCACUGUAACCUUGACCUCCUGGGCUCAAGUGAUCCUUGCACCUCAGCCUCCUGAGUAACUGGGACUCCAAGCAUAUGCCCGACUCUGGAUUUGGUUUUAUCUUGUAAGCACUAGAGAGUUAUAAAAGACUUUUAAAAAUUGAAGUGAUGGAAUAAAAAAAUCUAAUUUGGAAGGGAUAAUAUGGCAUUGGAAGGACAAAAUUGGAGAUAGAAAUUCUACUUAGGAAACUACUGAAAUAUAGUUCAUGAUACAAGCAAUUUAAUGGUAGGGGUAUCUGCAGGAUUUAAUGUCUAGUUGAUGUUGGGAUUGAAGGAGAGGUGAAGUCUCAGACAACCUCCAGGUUUUGGCUUAGGUUGUGGGUGAAGUCUCAGACAAUCUCCAGGUUUUGGCUUAGGUUGUGGGUGAAGUCUCAGAUGAUCUCCAGGUUUUGGCUUAGGUUGUGGGUGAAGACUGAUGAUGCUUUCACCAAGCCUGACAUCAUAGGAAUCACGUAGGAGUAUAGGAACACUUCACAUGCUACUAUAGCUUUCUACUGUAAAAGGGUUUAGCACUGCUCCAUUCUUCAAACUCUUUACAUAUUUUGAAUACAAAACAUUAAAAAAAAAAACCCAGAGUGACUGAUGGUUGGACAAUUAUAUAUUCGGACAACUUUUCCCACAGGUGGAGCAAGUCUGCGUGCUUACGUGUGCAUAUAUGUGCUGUGUGCAUGCACAUGAUGUUGCUCAUGCUUUGGAUAUGAAUGUGUGUGCUCCUUUGGUCAUGUUGGAUUCUUGACACAAUGUCAUUUUUCAGCAUUAAAAUUCCCGUCACCUAGCAGAAGUGCUCCCUUUAAGAUCCAUUUCCGCUUGGCUCGUUGUGCAUAAACAUUCCAGUGGGAUUGAUUGCUUGUGUCAAAUUAAUUUUUUCCCUUCCCAGGAACAGUGUCUGCCAUGUGCAAAAUGGGGAAAUCCCCAGGCCUCUAGCCAAAUGCAAGGCUCAGAUAUAGGGGUAAAGUCAGGCUUGGGUCAAGAAUUGUUCUAGAUAAGCCACAGAGCCUGCAUCUGGAUACUUAAGCUAACCUUCCCAUUAUGCUUUGUGACUGUUUCUAGACAACAGGAAAACCCUAAGCGGGGUAGAGAUGGCUGCAUAUGAGAGGCUUGGGUCUUUUUAGCAUCAGCUGCAGUACCACGUCCUCCUCUAUAUCUUCCUUUUGCUGCUUUGUUUAAAAGGCUGCAGAGGCCGUGUGUUGUGGCUCCCACCUAUAAUCCCAGUACUUUGGGAGGCCAAGGUGGGAGGAUCACUUGAACCCAGGAGUUCAAGACCAACAUGGGCAACAUAGCAAGACCCCAUUACUUAAAAAUAAAAAUAAAAAUAA